UGCGUAGGCGGCUUAAUAAGUCAGAGGUGAAAGCUCAUCGCUUAACGAUGGAAUUGCCUUUGAUACUGUUAAGCUUGAAUCAGGUUGAGGUCAGCGGAAUGAGUCAUGUAGCGGUGAAAUGCAUAGAUAUGACUUAGAACACCAAUUGCGAAGGCAGCUGGCUAGACCUGUAUUGACGCUGAGGCACGAAAGCGUGGGGAGCGAACAGGAUUAGAUACCCUGGUAGUCC
rnacentral:rRNA from 1 species